UACGAAGGGUGCAAGCGUUAAUCGGAAUUACUGGGCGUAAAGGGUGUGUAGGCGGUUGUUUAAGUCUGUCGUGAAAUCCCCGGGCUCAACCUGGGAAUGGCGAUGGAUACUGGGCAGCUAGAGUGUGUCAGAGGAUGGUGGAAUUCCCGGUGUAGCGGUGAAAUGCGUAGAGAUCGGGAGGAACAUCAGUGGCGAAGGCGGCCAUCUGGGACAACACUGACGCUGAAGCACGAAAGCGUGGGGAGCAAACAGG
rnacentral:rRNA from 1 species